AGACGUCCAUAAGACUAAAAUAUCAUGGUCGUUUGGUCAUCUAGCGCUUACGUUUUAUUAGAUCUGUUCUGUACAAAUGCUUAUUGGAUGAUAUUUUUAAGUAAACAAUGAGAAUCUGCACUUAUGAAAAGUGGAAGAAGUGUAUCUAACGAGAACAGACCCACUGUGUGUGAUGGCGCUAAGAGUUUACUCGGCAUUUUCAUGCGUAAACAAGAACAAAACUGAAGCCAACUUCACGACUGACGUAAAGUCACUGAAAAAUGGCGGAUACCUAUGGAAUCAAAAAAAUCACUUGUGCUCUGCCUCCUGAUAGCUUUAACGUGACUUCUUACAAAUGCUGAUUAACGGUUAACAUAACCUCCCUAAAUCAAUUGACAUUGUAACAAAUAUCUCUUCGAUAGUAUCAAGGUACAGAAUAUUUUGACUGACAAAACGAAAAUGGAAUUUCGCUCUUCUAAUGCUCGACUCUCAAAGAUAUUGGUACGACGGAAAAAAAAAAGUAAGAUUGUGCAAAAAGUAUCCUAACGAGAAGUUACCAGAAUAUCGUAUACGCCCAGUCGAAAGCAUAUUGGUUGAAAAAAAAGAAACUAGAAUUACACUAGCACAAAAUUAAAAAAUUCGUACGAGUCCAUGCUGCGAGUUUAAGCGAACUUUGUACAUUAAAAAGAGAAUGAAAAUAAUGACGGCUCGCCGUGACGACAUGCAAUGAGGUACAUGGGUGAAUGGAAUGAUACAGUAACUCAUCAAGCAAUUUUGAGCAGUCCCAAAAAUAUAAAUGAUUCCCUCGAUUUGAAGUACGAGAAUCUAACGAGAAUUGAUAACGGAGCGAGAGAAGAAAAAAAAAA